CCUACGGGUGGCUGCAGUGGGGAAUAUUGCACAAUGGGCGCAAGCCUGAUGCAGCCAUGCCGCGUGUGUGAAGAAGGCCUUCGGGUUGUAAAGCACUUUCAGCGGGGAGGAAGGCGGUGAGGUUAAUAACCUCAUCGAUUGACGUUACCCGCAGAAGAAGCACCGGCUAACUCCGUGCCAGCAGCCGCGGUAAUACGGAGGGUGCAAGCGUUAAUCGGAAUUACUGGGCGUAAAGCGCACGCAGGCGGUCUGUCAAGUCGGAUGUGAAAUCCCCGGGCUCAACCUGGGAACUGCAUUCGAAACUGGCAGGUUAGAGUCUUGUAGAGGGGGGUAGAAUUCCAGGUGUAGCGGUGAAAUGCGUAGAGAUCUGGAGGAAUACCGGUGGCGAAGGCGGCCCCCUGGGCAAAGACUGACGCUCAGGUGCGAAAGCGUGGGGAGCAAACAGGAUUAGAUACCCCUGUAGUC
rnacentral:rRNA from 1 species